UUUUCAGAUUUGAGAAACCGUGUGACCACUGCAUUUCCAUAGUAGCUUCGUGAAGGAUAAAAUCAUUUGCAAAAGCUUUGGUGGUAAAAGACGGGAAGCAUCAGAGAUUCCAAAAUCUACAUAUAUGCGACGAGUCAUACCACGGCCAUAUGACUGAACUUUUUCUUAUUCUACUUCACAUGAACGUUCGUGGAAGAUACUUUUAACUAUUGUAAGUCAUGUUCCAUUCAUUUGACAAUAUUAUUUUAGCAUGUUCCAUUCAUUUGACGAUUACUAAAAAGUGUUCUAUUUUAUUUAGAAAUAUAGUUUGUAAUUUUCUUAAGUUGAUAUUUGAGUUUAAAAUUUAUAUGUGGGUUUAGGGUUUAGUAUUUAGAAGAUGAAGAGUAUGGUUAGGAUCAACAUUAACUUAUUCCAUGGAAUCAUAGACAUUUCAUAAUUUCACUCUAUUACACCUAAAAAUAGAGUAUAUAUAUAUGUAUAUGGUCAAUAAACAUAUGACGUGGAUGACAUGGAUGACUCGACCUUCUUUUCUUUGAAAUAAUUUUUAGGCACACUUACCAUAUAUUAAUGGGAUACAUGGACACAUAGAGCACAUAUUUAUCGGGUAAUAGCAAAGGGGAAAGGUAUAACCGAACUAAUUAAGGUGUAAAUGUUAGUUUUUUUAUUAUGUCAAAAUUAUUAUUAUUUACUUAAUUUUUAUUACAUAAUUAGCUAUUCAGCAAAUAAGCCCUACAAAUAAUACAUAGCUAAAGUGUACACGAAAAUGCAACUUUUUGUUGGGGUUGGGUACUAAAUUAAUCAUAAAUCAAAUAAAAUUUACAUAAUGGGGUAAUUAAUUAAGCUAUCAUCAACGAAACACCAUUUUUGUUGCAUUUGUGUUUAUAUAAUUAUAUGUAAUUCCCCUAAAAUAUCUUAUUAUAUAAAGAAGAGUUUGCUCUCUUUUGGCGAAGCCACGUCACUAAGUUGUGCAUUUUGGGAGUGAUACGUGGCAACCCCAAAAAUCAAAAAAUUUUAAUGAGUUUCGUGCAGAUCUUUACUAGGCCUUUCAAAAAAAUCUAUAUCAAAUCAUUAUUUUAGUCGCCGCCGUCCGUUACAGAGUCGACCAGAUUCAUGCAUCUUCAUUAAAGCUCAAUUUAACUCCAAUUUCCCACAUAUCACACGAUCCUCUAUUCACUAAAUCUACUCCUUAAUACCAUUGAGUGAUUUCCGCUGCUAUAAAUAUAUCGAGAAGGUCUAGAGAGAUGUUGAUGGUGUGUGUUGGAUUAGAAUUCAUUGGUAUAUGAUACCGGAAGAGUACUGCUUCAGGGCGUCCUCCACCUCAACAACUGAAUAUACGACAACAUUCUCAUGAAACACGAUGGGUAGUCAGCGGGGGAGGAGCAUAUCUCGGCGGAGGAUGCGAAGAGGACGAGAGGGAAAGAGGCAAGACGAAGGUUGACUUGGAAACCAGUAAAAAGGGGAUUUAGGAUUGAAGGAAGAGAGGGAAACAUAAGAAGUGGAGACAGAUCUAAGUUUUGUGCAGAGAAGAAAAGCACAACAAUGAGGAGAUAUUAUGAACUGUAUGACGGCAAGCACAGAGAAACUGAUCCCGUCGUUCUGUGCGGUCGAGAAAAAAAAGUUUCAACCGUAAAAAAUCAUGUUUAGAUCUAGGUUUUUCUUCCUUUUAAUACAAUAAAUGUUUGGUGGGUUAGUUUAGUUACGUUUUAGGUUUAUUAUUUUUAGAUGGAUUUUAAGUAACUUGGGCCAAUGAACAUACUAAAAUAGAUCCAAAUGUAUAUAAAUUUUAGAAAGAUCCUAUUACAAAU